AUGGCUACAUGUCUGGAGAUUGUCACUGAGGAGGAAAGAGGAGAAAGGCCUGCAAGGGAGGAAGGGACCGUCUGGACCACACACCGAGACUGGGGGCACAGACCCGACAGAGGCCUCGCUCAUGGGCCUUGUUCACUGCUUCCAGAAUGGCUACCCUGUCCAUGGCUGACUAACAACAUACAAGCGCUCCAGCCUUUGCCCUUCCUCAGCCUUGUCACAGAUGAGGCAGAGAAGGAUGGGAGAAGCCAAAUUAACUUCCCCUUCACUGGCUGUAUGGCUUUAGGUAACCAUGAUAGCUACCUUCUGGAUGCUACCACUACAGCAUCCUUUGAGGGGCCCCAAAGGCUGCCUCUUGCCAUCCUGCUGGGAUCUGGACACACUGAAGCCUUCUGAACUUCUUCUCUUUUUUUUUUUUUUUUAAGAUUUUAUUCAUUUAUUCAUGAGAGACACUGAGAGAGAGACACAGGCAGAGGGAGAAGCAGGCUCCAUGCAGGGAGCCCAAUAUAGAACCCGAUCCUGGGACUCCAGAAUUAUGCCCUGGGCUGAAGGCAGGCGCUAAAUCGCUGAGCCACCCAGACAUCCACCCUCUGAACUUCUGAAGCCCACUUGAGACCUGGUGUGCAGAUGCUGAGGCACCCCCCAGCAUCUUCUCUGAGCCUCCCUUCAUGUGGACCCCUGCCCACAAAUCCUCCAAGGCCAGGUUCCUGCCCCACCCUCUGCAGGGAGUACCCCCCUCCCAUGUCUGCCCCCUCUGAAGUCCCAGACUCUGGCUGUCAUCUCUGGCCAGCUAGCUGCCCUGUGC
rnacentral:lncRNA from 1 species